CAGCAGUAGCCGCGGUAAUACAGAGGGUGCAAGCGUUAAUCGGAAUUACUGGGCGUAAAGCGCGCGUAGGUGGUUUGUUAAGUUGGAUGUGAAAGCCCCGGGCUCAACCUGGGAACUGCAUCCAAAACUGGCAAGCUAGAGUACGGUAGAGGGUGGUGGAAUUUCCUGUGUAGCGGUGAAAUGCGUAGAUAUAGGAAGGAACACCAGUGGCGAAGGCGACCACCUGGACUGAUACUGACACUGAGGUGCGAAAGCGUGGGGAGCAAACAGGAUUAGAUACCCCAGUAGUCCCUGUCUCUUAUAC
rnacentral:rRNA from 1 species